rnacentral:ncRNA from 1 species
CCAUGAUAAUAGCAAACUUAUAGAAAUAUAAGGACGCAAAGCUAUGGGUCUAAGGAAGAAAUUCUAUGAUUGCCAGGUUGCCGAA